rnacentral:sRNA from 1 species
GCUGGACAUGGUAGUGCAUGCCUGUAAUCCCAGCAACUCAGGAGGCUGAGGCAGAGGCAGGAGGAUCUCAAGUUCAAGUCCAGUCUUAACAACUUAAUGAGACCCUGUCUCAAAUUUUAUUUAUUUAUUUAUGUAUUUUUGGUGCUGGGUAUUGAACCCAGGGAUGCUCUGCCACUGAGCUACAACCCCAGCUCUUUUCAUUUUUUUUGAGACAAUGGUCUCACUAAAUUUCUUAGGACCUGAAUUGCUGAGGCUGGCCUUGAACUUGUGAUCCUUCUGCCUCAGCAUU